CCUAUUAGCUCAGUUUGGUUAGAGCGUCGUGCUAAUAACAUGAAAGUCACAUGUUCAAAUUAGAGGUGGGAAUAGGCCA
rnacentral:tRNA from 1 species